ACGGAAGGCAGCAGUGGGGAAUAUUGGACAAUGGGGGAAACCCUGAUCCAGCGACGCCGCGUGAGUGAAGAAGUAUUUCGGUAUGUAAAGCUCUAUCAGCAAGGAAGAAAAUGACGGUACUUGACUAAGAAGCUCCGGCUAAAUACGUGCCAGCAGCCGCGGUAAUACGUAUGGAGCAAGCGUUAUCCGGAUUUACUGGGUGUAAAGGGAGUGUAGACGGCGAAGCAAGUCUGAAGUGAAAUGCCGGGGCUUAACCCCGGAACUGCUUUGGAAACUGUUUUGCUAGAGUGCAGGAGAGGUAAGCGGAAUUCCUAGUGUAGCGGUGAAAUGCGUAGAUAUUAGGAGGAACACCAGUGGCGAAGGCGGCUUACUGGACUGUAACUGACGUUGAGGCUCGAAAGCGUGGGGAGCAAACAGGAUUAGAUACCCUGGUA
rnacentral:rRNA from 1 species